rnacentral:rRNA from 1 species
CCUACGGGUGGCAGCAGUGGGGGAUAUUGCACAAUGGGGGGAACCCUGAUGCAGCGACGCCGCGUGGGUGAAGGAGCGUUUCGGCGCGUAAAGCCCUAUCGGCAGGGAAGAAGAUGACGGUACCUGGCCAAGCAGCACCGGCUAACUACGUGCCAGCAGCCGCGGGAAUACGUAGGGGGCAAGCGUUCUCCGGCUUUACUGGGUGUAAAGGGGGCGCAGGCGGGAAUGCAAGCCAGGAGUGAAAGCCCGGGGCCCAACCCCGGGACUGCUCUUGGAACUGCAUGGCUGGAGUACAGGAGGGGCAGGCGGAAUUCCUAGUGUAGCGGUGAAAUGCGUAGAUAUUAGGAGGAACACCAGUGGCGAAGGCGGCUUACUGGACUGUAACUGACGUUGAGGCUCGAAAGCGUGGGGAGCGAACAGGAUUAGAUACCCUAGUAGUC